rnacentral:tRNA from 1 species
GAGAAGUCUGAUGACAACAAGAACUGCUAAUUCUUGCCCCCUGAGUUUAAUCCCCAGGUUCA